rnacentral:rRNA from 1 species
UACGUAGGGGGCUAGCGUUGUCCGGAUUUAUUGGGCGUAAAGAGCGUGUAGGCGGUCAGGUAGGUCGGUUGUGAAAACUCGAGGCUCAACCUCGAGACGUCGAUGGAAACCGUAUGGCUAGAGUCCGGAAGAGGAGAGUGGAAUUCCUGGUGUAGCGGUGAAAUGCGCAGAUAUCAGGAAGAACACCCGUGGCGAAGGCGGCUCUCUGGGACGGUACUGACGCUGAGACGCGAAAGCGUGGGGAGCAAACAGG